GAUGAACGCUGGCGGCGUGCCUAAUACAUGCAAGUCGAGCGAAUGGAUUAAGAGCUUGCUCUUAUGAAGUUAGCGGCGGACGGGUGAGUAACACGUGAGUAACCUGCCCAUAAGACUGGGAUAACUCCGGGAAACCGGGGCUAAUACCGGAUAACAUUUUGAACCGCCUGGUUCGAAAUUGAAAGGCGGCUUCGGCUGUCACUUAUGGAUGGACCCGCGUCGCAUUAGCUAGUUGGUGAGGUAACGGCUCACCAAGGCGACGAUGCGUAGCCGACCUGAGAGGGUGAUCGGCCACACUGGACUGAGACACGGCCCAGACUCCUACGGGAGGCAGCAGUAGGGAAUCUUCCGCAAUGGACGAAAGUCUGACGGAGCAACGCCGCGUGAGUGAUGAAGGCUUUCGGGUCGUAAAACUCUGUUGUUAGGGAAGAACAAGUGCUAGUUGAAUAAGCUGGCACCUUGACGGUACCUAACCAGAAAGCCACGGCUAACUACGUGCCAGCAGCCGCAGUAA
rnacentral:rRNA from 1 species